AGUGGCGAACGGGUGAGUAACACGUGAGUAACCUGCCCUUAACUCUGGGAUAAGCCUGGGAAACUGGGUCUAAUACCGGAUAGGAGCGUCCACCGCAUGGUGGGUGUUGGAAAGAUUCAUCGGUUUUGGAUGGACUCGCGGCCUAUCAGCUUGUUGGUGAGGUAAUGGCUCACCAAGGCGACGACGGGUAGCCGGCCUGAGAGGGUGACCGGCCACACUGGGACUGAGACACGGCCCAGACUCCUACGGGAGGCAGCAGUGGGGAAUAUUGCACAAUGGGCGAAAGCCUGAUGCAGCGACGCCGCGUGAGGGAUGACGGCCUUCGGGUUGUAAACCUCUUUCAGUAGGGAAGAAGCGAAAGUGACGGUA
rnacentral:rRNA from 1 species